CUCUGACCUCUCCAGCGCCUCUGCCUCUCUGUGAGCCUGCCCUCACAUUCCUCCAAGACACCCCAGCCCUGAAACAAGAGACCAUGUUGAGCUCAUCGCCAGGCACAGAAGUUAGAGGAGUUAAACAACACGAGAAAAAAGACAACCGUUGGGUUGAGGCUGAUCAAGGGUUAAGUUAAGGAGGAAGCAAACCGACUGUCGGCGUCCUGACUGGUGCCUGUAGUUUCCUCCCCACACACGUCUGUCGCUUGCUACCCGCUGCCCAACAGACGCCGUGCUCUUUAAAGUUAACGAGCCCCUCGCUACCCUGCCAUCCGGGAGCUGUCCUGGGAUGUGUGUGUAACUCUACUCUCUCUCUGACUAUGCUCUGACCACCAGCUGCCUCAAGAACGCAUCAGUAGAACACGGCUGACUCUCCUCCACCAGUCAUACAAGGAGAAUGGUCUAAUGCCUCCCAUCAAAAAGAGAGCUGGCCCAAGCAAGCACAGGUUACACCUGAAGCAUGAGGACUUGCAGGGAGUGGCGAACUUCAUCAACAUCUACGCAGAGGAUAACGCAAGAGUAUUACCAGGAUGCCUCCCAGGACACAAACACUUUGGUGGAAAACUGCUGCCAUCCCAUGUGACAAAAGCAGCAGUGUGGCGUUUCUACAAGGAAUCGAUGACAACACUUGAUAUCUAAAACAUAAACAACACGUUUUGAUUAUUUAAUUGACCUCCAACAUGAUUGGUACUACUUUUACUGAUCUCACCUUACUUCUGUAUUUUCCAGAGGAAAAUGUAGUCAGGCUGUGUGUUAUCAUCUUAACUCCCAGUUUCCAAGAUAAUAUUUCUGUAUGCAGUGCUGUUGCUCUGCACAUUUGUAGGUAAGGGAAACUUACCUGAUAAUGAUGCAUGAAAAUAAUUUUAUUACGUUUGACUUUUUUUUUUCAUUAACUUAUCUUAAUGUUAUUUUGUUCUUUGCAAUUGCACUAUCCUUCAGACCAUAUGCAGCCAGGUCCCAUAUGCUUUUGAACUCCUCGCAAGUGUGUCUUGCUUGGGGUCUGUUGUGAAGGAAUUCCAAACAAGUCAACUACUUGAUUAAUGAAGGCAUGUCCUCCAGCAAAGGCAGCAGUGCAGUAAUCAACUACAUGCACCAUUUUUUCACCACGGAGUUGAGGAAACACGUGUGGACCUGAAUUGUGAUAACUGCUGUGGCCAAAUCAAGAACAAGUUUGUGCUCUGGUAUUGUACCUGGCGGACCAUGCACAAGCUCCACCACAGUUUGGGCCUUAACUUCCUGAUCACAGGCCACACCAAGUGUGCCCCCGACUAGUGCUUCGGCCUCAUCAAACAGCACUUCAGAAAGACCAGAGUGAACACUUUGUCUGAGAUUGCUGGUGUUGUGAAGGACAGCACUGUGACAGGGGUCAACAUCCCACAGCUGGUUAGACUGGAGAAUGGUACGGUGCUGGUAAAAAGCUAUGGCUGGCAACAGCACCUGACUCCAUACUUCAGGCCACUGCCACAGUUCAAGUAGUACCAGCACUUCAGCUUCAAUGCUCUGGAGCCUGGUGUUGUUGUCGCCAAGGAGCGUUCGGACUCAGUCAGGACCAGGUUUCAGCUGCUGCGCAACACUGACAUCCUUCUUCCCAUAGAUGGUCUGCCUUACCAGGACCACCUGGACUGGACACAGCUAGAUAAACUUGUGUUUUUGAGAAGAUCAAAAACAUACGUUUUUGAUCUUAGAUUCCCGUUGUUCAUGCAUGGUUCGGCUGGACCAGUCAUCAGCACUAUAUGCAGUGCCUCUAUUCAAAUGACUCUCUCCUAACACACACGUCAUACGUCGAUGCUACUAUUUUUUUAUCCUGCUGCUUAGCCACUUGCAUAACUACCUCAUCUAUCACUGAUAUUGUUUUUGAUAUUGUUCUUGUACAUACUGUAUAUUGUUUUACUGAUACUGACGCUAUCUAUUUCUGAUAUUAAUACUAUGCAAGUAACCAUUAGGCUGUACCAUUUACACCUUCUGUAGAGACCCAUCCACUUGGCAUUAUGUGACUGGGGGUUAUAGCAUUUCUUUCACAUGACCCAUCAAUUUAGACAAGUGUGUCUGGGUAAGCGUCAUGUAAUAUUUAUCAAAUAUUUUUCUCUGGACACUUUCUGCUUACUGUUCAGUACAUGACUUCACAUGUGAAUCCUUAAAGAGAUGGGUGGGGCUGGCUUAACAGGAUGUGAACAAUUCUGAAUGGGUGCAGACAAAGGAGAGAUCUCCAGUAUGUAUCAAAACAUUCAAAGGCUAUUUUCUCAAAAGUGAGUUUACAAUAAAUUCUACAACCACCUAAAAGGAAGCAAUUCCCAAACCUUCCAUAACAAAGCCAUCACCUACAGAGAGAUGAACCUGGAGAAGAGUCCCCUAAGCAUGCUGAUCCUGGGGCUCUGUUCGAAAAAACAAACAAAAUAAACACACCCCACAGAGCCCCAGGACAGCAACACAAUUGGACCCAACCAAAUCAUGAGAAAACAAAAAGAUAAUUACUUGACACAUUGGAAAGAAUUAACAAAAAACAGAGCAAACUAGAAUGCUACUUGGCCCGAAACAGAGACUACACAGUGGCAGAAUACCUGACCAAUGUGACUGACCCAAACUUAAGGAAAUCUUUGACUAUGUACAGACUCAGAAAGGCAGCCGUAGGCAGACCAGGCUCUCAAGAGAAGACGGACUAUGUGCAGACCGCACACAAAAGGAGGUGGAAACUGAGAUGCACUUCCUAACUUCCUGCCAAAUGACCACAUUAGAAACACAUAUUUCCCUCAGAUUACACAGACACACAAAGAAUUUGAAAACAAACCCAGUUUUUAUCAACUUCUAUAUCUAUUGGGUGGACCACACCACAGUGUGCCAUCACAGCAACACGAUGUGUGACCUACUGCCACAAGAAAAGGGCAACCAGUGAACAAAAAAACACCAUUCUAAAUACAACCCAUAUUUAUGUUUAUUUAUUUUCUAAUUUGUAACUAUUUUCACUUAAUAUGACAUUUGAAAUGUCUUUAUUCUUUUGGAACUUUUGUGAGUGUAAUGUUUACUGUACAUUUGUAUUGUUUGUUUCACUUUUGUUUAUUAUCUCCUUCACUUGCUUUGGCAAUGUUAACAUAUGUUUCCCAAGCCAAUAAAGCCCUUAAAUUAAAGUGAA
rnacentral:lncRNA from 1 species